rnacentral:misc_RNA from 1 species
AAAAUAGUGAUUCACGCUUGUGAAGAUUAUUUUGCAAUAAAAAAUGAAAAAGAAGACCCAAAAUUUUAUCGGUUUAAUUCCUUUGAUCCUUAAAUACGAAGAAGGUAUGGAAUCCACACGCAUCAAACUGGCAAAUUGCAGCUUUAAAUUCUAGUCUUCCUUCGAGGUUCAGGAGAAACUCUUGGCUGGAGGCUGGAGUUCUGCUCACAAAUACCUUGAUAUGCAUCGUUG